rnacentral:rRNA from 1 species
CCUGUGGCUGGGGGUGAAAGGCCAAUCAAACCGGGAGAUAGCUGGUUCUCCCCGAAAGCUAUUUAGGUAGCGCCUCGUGAACUCAUCUCCGGGGGUAGAGCACUGUUUCGGCUAGGGGGCCAUCCCGGCUUACCAACCCGAUGCAAACUGCGAAUACCGGAGAAUGUUAUCACGGGAGACACACGGCGGGUGCUAACGUCCGUCGUGAAGAGGGAAACAACCCAGACCGCCAGCUAAGGUCCCAAAGUCAUGGUUAAGUGGGAAACGAUGUGGGAAGGCCCAGACAGCCAGGAUGUUGGCUUAGAAGCAGCCAUCAUUUAAAGAAAGCGUAAUAGCUCACUGGUCGAGUCGGCCUGCGCGGAAGAUGUAACGGGGCUAAACCAUGCACCGAAGCUGCGGCAGCGACACUCAGGUGUUGUUGGGUAGGGGAGCGUUCUGUAAGCCUGCGAAGGUGGCCUGUGAGGGUUGCUGGAGGUAUCAGAAGUGCGAAUGCUGACAUAAGUAACGAUAAAGCGGGUGAAAAGCCCGCUCGCCGGAAGACCAAGGGUUCCUGUCCAACGUUAAUCGGGGCAGGGUGAGUCGACCCCUAAGGCGAGGCCGAAAGGCGUAGUCGAUGGGAAACGGGUUAAUAUUCCCGUACUUGGUGUUACUGCGAAGGGGGGACGGAGAAGGCUAUGUUGGCCGGGCGACGGUUGUCCCGGUUUAAGCGUGUAGGUGUGUGUUCCAGGUAAAUCCGGUUCACUUUAACACUGAGGCGUGAUGACGAGGCACUACGGUGCUGAAGCAACAAAUGCCCUGCUUCCAGGAAAAGCCUCUAAGCAUCAGGUAACAUCAAAUCGUACCCCAAACCGACACAGGUGGUCAGGUAGAGAAUACCAAGGCGCUUGAGAGAACUCGGGUGAAGGAACUAGGCAAAAUGGUGCCGUAACUUCGGGAGAAGGCACGCUGACACGUAGGUGAAGUGAUUUACUCAUGGAGCUGAAGUCAGUCGAAGAUACCAGCUGGCUGCAACUGUUUAUUAAAAACACAGCACUGUGCAAACACGAAAGUGGACGUAUACGGUGUGACGCCUGCCCGGUGCCGGAAGGUUAAUUGAUGGGGUCAGCGCAAGCGAAGCUCCUGAUCGAAGCCCCGGUAAACGGCGGCCGUAACUAUAACGGUCCUAAGGUAGCGAAAUUCCUUGUCGGGUAAGUUCCGACCUGCACGAAUGGCGUAAUGAUGGCCAGGCUGUCUCCACCCGAGACUCAGUGAAAUUGAACUCGCUGUGAAGAUGCAGUGUACCCGCGGCAAGACGGAAAGACCCCGUGAACCUUUACUAUAGCUUGACACUGAACAUUGAGCCUUGAUGUGUAGGAUAGGUGGGAGGCUUUGAAGUGUGGACGCCAGUCUGCAUGGAGCCGGCCUUGAAAUACCACCCUUUAAUGUUUGAUGUUCUAACGUGGACCCGUGAUCCGGGUUGCGGACAGUGUCUGGUGGGUAGUUUGACUGGGGCGGUCUCCUCCUAAAGAGUAACGGAGGAGCACGAAGGUUGGCUAAUCCUGGUCGGACAUCAGGAGGUUAGUGCAAUGGCAUAAGCCAGCUUGACUGCGAGCGUGACGGCGCGAGCAGGUGCGAAAGCAGGUCAUAGUGAUCCGGUGGUUCUGAAUGGAAGGGCCAUCGCUCAACGGAUAAAAGGUACUCCGGGGAUAACAGGCUGAUACCGCCCAAGAGUUCAUAUCGACGGCGGUGUUUGGCACCUCGAUGUCGGCUCAUCACAUCCUGGGGCUGAAGUAGGUCCCAAGGGUAUGGCUGUUCGCCAUUUAAAGUGGUACGCGAGCUGGGUUUAGAACGUCGUGAGACAGUUCGGUCCCUAUCUGCCGUGGGCGCUGGAGAACUGAGGGGGGCUGCUCCUAGUACGAGAGGACCGGAGUGGACGCAUCACUGGUGUUCGGGUUGUCAUGCCAAUGGCACUGCCCGGUAGCUAAAUGCGGAAGAGAUAAGUGCUGAAAGCAUCUAAGCACGAAACUUGCCCCGAGAUGAGUUCUCCCUGAGACUUUAGGUCUCCUGAAGGAACGUUGAAGACGACGACGUUGAUAGGCCGGGUGUGUAAGCGCAGCGAUGCGUUGAGCUAACCGGUACUAAUGAACCGUGAGGCUUAACCUU